rnacentral:rRNA from 1 species
AUUGAACGCUGGCGGCAGGCCUAACACAUGCAAGUCGAGCGGGGUUUUCGGACCUAGCGGCGGACGGGUGAGUAAUGCGUAGGAAGCUACCCGAUAGGGGGGGAUACCAGUUGGAAACGACUGUUAAUACCGCAUAAUGUCUACGGACCAAAGUGUGGGACCUUCGGGCCACAUGCUAUCGGAUGCGCCUACGUGGGAUUAGCUAGUCGGUGAGGUAAUGGCUCACCAAGGCGACGAUCCCUAGCUGGUUUGAGAGGAUGAUCAGCCACACUGGAACUGAGACACGGUCCAGACUCCUACGGGAGGCAGCAGUGGGGAAUAUUGGACAAUGGGCGCAAGCCUGAUCCAGCCAUGCCGCGUGUGUGAAGAAGGCCUUCGGGUUGUAAAGCACUUUCAGUAGGGAGGAAGCGUUGUGUGUUAAUAGUACACAGCGUUGACGUUACCUGCAGAAGAAGCACCGGCUAACUCUGUGCCAGCCGCCGCAGUAACAC